rnacentral:rRNA from 1 species
CCUACGGGGGGCAGCAGUGAGGAAUAUUGGUCAAUGGCCGGAAGGCUGAACCAGCCAAGCCGCGUGAAGGACGAAGGUGCCAAGCAGUGUAAACUUCUUUUGUCAAGGGACAAAAUCAGGCUCGAGAGCCUGACCGAGGGUACUUGAAGAAAAAGCAUCGGCUAACUCCGUGCCAGCAGCCGCGGUAAUACGGGGGAUGCGAGCGUUAUCCGGAUUUAUUGGGUUUAAAGGGUGCGUAGGCGGGCUGUUCAGUCAGCGGUAAAAGCCCGGGGCUCAACCCCGGCGGGCCGUUGAAACUGGCUGUCUUGAGCUGUCGAGAGGUAUGCGGAAUGCGCAGUGUAGCGGU